rnacentral:misc_RNA from 1 species
CUUUUCUCUUUCUUGGGGAAUUGCUAGUUCGUGACGAAAGCCCUUUUCGGGACUGGGCUAACGCGCCUUUACAUUACAAUAGGCUCAAGUGCAUGUAUUUACUGGGGCUAAUCAGCCUUUUUUGGCUAGUUCCCCAUUAGUUGACUGCAACUCUUUGAAUUGAAGGAGUGGAAUUGGGAAUUAGCUUGCUGCUUUUACUGGCUUUCCUGCCAUGCCUACUCUAUAUAUGUAUCCGCCAAAGAAGAUGAAUAAGCGGAAGAAGAGAGAAACCAAGAAGAAAAAGAAACCUGGCUAAGAAGAGAGAGUUACCCGAUUAGCCGAUUAGCCAGAGUAGGCAUAGUAGUCCCAAGAGGCCCUAAGACUAAGAGGUAGACGAAGAGAUAGCAAAUGCCCUAGAGGG